ensembl:lncRNA
GUUGCCCAGCCUUUGCCCCUUUAGCUUUGUUAAGAGUCACGAAACAUCAGUCUUUCUAGGGCUAAUUAUUCCCUGCUGCCUGGCAAAGCCCUUCUGAGUUCUCUACCAGUUCCCAUGAAUUUGGGGUUUUCCUGUCUGCCUAGGGGACAGGUUACUCCCAUCCAGAUGUGAGCCCAACUCCCACUCAUUCCCUGUAAUUCUUUCCCACUCUUAGUCCGGUGGAGUUUGCACAGGCACGUACCGAUCUCCGGGCCACAAGUUCUCCAGGGCCUCACUGCCACACUUUCCUCUAGCUGCUCCAUCUUCACAGGCUAGAAACUUCUCUCACCUCACCCUUCCAACACCCAAUUCCAGCUUCCCAGAGGGGGAAAAAAACCCUUCAAAUGGAUCGAACUUGGGAUCUUGCCCUUGCAAAGCAGGCGGCGGAACCACUGAGCUAAAUCCCCUGCCCUGC